rnacentral:tRNA from 1 species
GGGGAUUUAGCUCAGUGGUAGAGCGCUUGCCUAGGAAGCAAAAGGCAUGCAAGAGAGUCGAGGAUGCCUGUUCAGGAGAACGAACAGGUAAAUGCUU